rnacentral:rRNA from 1 species
GACGAACGCUGGCGGCGUGCUUAACACAUGCAAGUCGAACGGAAAGGCCCUGCUUUUGUGGGGUGCUCGAGUGGCGAACGGGUGAGUAACACGUGAGUAACCUGCCCUUGACGUUGGGAUAACUUCAGGAAACUUGGGCUAAUACCGGAUAGGAGCUCCUGCUGCAUGGUGGGGGUUGGAAAGUUUCGGCGGUUGGGGAUGGACUCGCGGCUUAUCAGCUUGUUGGUGGGGUAGUGGCUUACCAAGGCUUUGACGGGUAGCCGGCCUGUGAGGGUGACCGGCCACAUUGGGACUGAGAUACGGACCAGAAUGCUACGGGAGGCAGCAGUGGGGAAUAUUGCACAAUGGGCGGAAGCAUGAUGCAGCAACGCCGCGUGCGGGAUGACGGCCUUCGGGUUGUAAACCGCUUUAGACUGUGACGAAGCGUGAGUGACGGUAAUGGGUAAAGAAGCACCGGCUAACUACGUG